CCACCUACAGAAGAGAAAGAGGUGAAACCUACCAAAGAAAAGAAAGAAGCCAAGAAACCAUCUAAAGAAGAUAAAGUGGUGAAGCUUCCCAAAGAAGAGAAAGAAGUCAAGAAACCAUCUACAGAGAAAGAGGUAGAAAAGCCUGCAAAAGAAGAAAAAGAGCUUAAAAUACCACACA